rnacentral:rRNA from 1 species
AUUGAACGCUGGCGGCAGGCCUAACACAUGCAAGUCGAGCGAGCGGCGGACGGGUGAGUAAUGUCUGGGAAACCGCCCGAUGGAGCGGGGUAACUACUGGAAACGCUAGCUAAUACCCCAUACUAUCAGAUCUGCUCCGGUGGGAUGAGCUAGUAGGUGGGGUAACGGCUCACCUAGGCGACGAUCCCUAGCUGGCAUGAGAGGAUGACCAGCCACACUGGAACUGAGACACGGUCCAGACUCCUACGGGAGGCAGCAGUGGGGAAUAUUGCACAAUGGGCGCAAGCCUGAUGCAGCCAUGCCGCGUGUGUGAAGAAGGCCUUCGGGUUGUAAAGCACUUUCAGCGGGGAGGCGGUACCCGAAGAAGAAGCACCGGCUAACUCCGUGCCAGCAGCCGCGGUAAUUC